GAUGAACGCUGGCGGCGUGCCUAAUACAUGCAAGUCGAGCGAACAGACGAGAAGCUUGCUUCUCUGAUGUUAGCGGCGGACGGGUGAGUAACACGUGGAUAACCUACCUAUAAGACUGGGAUAACUUCGGGAAACCGGAGCUAAUACCGGAUAAUAUUUUGAACCGCAUGGUUCAAAAGUGAAAGACGGUCUUGCUGUCACUUAUAGAUGGAUCCGCGCUGCAUUAGCUAGUUGGUAAGGUAACGGCUUACCAAGGCAACGAUGCAUAGCCGACCUGAGAGGGUGAUCGGCCACACUGGAACUGAGGCACGGUCCAGACUCCUACGGGAGGCAGCAGUAGGGAAUCUUCCGCAAAGGGCGAAAGCCUGACGGAGCAACGCCGCGUGAGUGAUGAAGGUCUUCGGAUCGUAAAACUCUGUUAUUAGGGAAGAACAUAUGUGUAAGUAACUGUGCACAUCUUGACGGUACCUAAUCAGAAAGCCACGGCUAACUACGUG
rnacentral:rRNA from 1 species